rnacentral:rRNA from 1 species
AUUGAACGCUGGCGGCAUGCUUUACACAUGCAAGUCGAACGGUAACAGGUUAAGCUGACGAGUGGCGAACGGGUGUGUAAUGCAUCGGAACGUGCCCGAUCGUGGGGGAUAACGCAGCGAAAGCUGCGCUAAUACCGCAUACGAUCUGAGGAUGAAAGCGGGGGACCGUAAGGCCUCGCGCGGUCGGAGCGGCCGAUGUCAGAUUAGGUAGUUGGUGGGGUAAAGGCUCACCAAGCCAACGAUCUGUAGCUGGUCUGAGAGGACGGCCAGCCACACUGGGACUGAGACACGGCCCAGACUCCUACGGGGGGCAGCAGUGGGGAAUUUUGGACAAUGGGCGAAAGCCUGAUCCAGCAAUGCCGCGUGCAGGAAGAAGGCCUUCGGGUUGUAAACUGCUUUUGUACGGAGCGAAAAGGUUCUCUCUAAUACAGAGGGCUCAUGACGGUACCGUAAGAAUAAGCACCGGCUAACUACGUGCCAGCCGCCGCCGUAA